rnacentral:rRNA from 1 species
UACGUAGGGUGCAAGCGUUGUCCGGAAUCAUUGGGCGUAAAGCGCGCGUAGGCGGCUCGAUCAGUCUGUUGUGAAAGUCAAAGGCUCAACCUUUGAAUGCCGAUGGAUACUGUCGAGCUAGAGUCCGGAAGAGGCGGGUGGAAUUCCUGGUGUAGCGGUGGAAUGCGCAGAUAUCAGGAGGAACACCAACGGCGAAGGCAGCCCGCUGGGACGGUACUGACGCUAAGGCGCGAAAGCGUGGGGAGCGAACAGG